rnacentral:tRNA from 1 species
CGCGCGAUGGAGCAGCUUGGUAGCUCGUUGGGCUCAUAACCCAAAGGUCGCAGGUUCAAAUCCUGCUCGCGCAACCA